rnacentral:rRNA from 1 species
UACGAAGGGGGCUAGCGUUGCUCGGAAUUACUGGGCGUAAAGCGCACGUAGGCGGCUCUUUAAGUCGGGGGUGAAAUCCUGGAGCUCAACUCCAGAACUGCCUUCGAUACUGUAAAGCUUGAGUUCGGGAGAGGUGAGUGGAACUGCGAGUGUAGAGGUGAAAUUCGUAGAUAUUCGCAAGAACACCAGUGGCGAAGGCGGCUCACUGGCCCGAUACUGACGCUGAGGUGCGAAAGCGUGGGGAGCAAACAGG